AUUGAACGCUGGCGGCAUGCUUUACACAUGCAAGUCGAACGGUAACAUCACUUCGUUGGCUGACGAGUGGCGAACGGGUGAGUAAUACAUCGGAACGUGCCUAGUAGUGUGGGAUAACUACUCGAAAGAGUAGCUAAUACCGCAUGCGAUCUAAGGAUUAGAGCAGGAGACCUUCGGACCUUGCGCUACUAGUGCGGCUGGUGGCAGAUUAGGUAGUUGGUGGGUUAAAAGCUUACCAAGCCGACGAUCUGUAGCUGGUCUGAGAGGACGAGCAGCCACACUGGAACUGAGACACGGCCCAGACUCCUACGGGAGGCAGCAGUGGGGAAUCUUGGACAAUGGGCGCAAGCCUGAUGCAGCAAUGCCGCGUGAAGGAUGAAGGCCUUCGGAUUGUAAAAUGCUUUUGUAAGGAACGAAAAGCUGUGUACUAAUACAGGAGCGUCAUGACGGUACCGAAAGAGUAAGCCCCGGCUAACUACGUG
rnacentral:rRNA from 1 species